AUCACUCUUUCCAGUAUCUGUUCUUAUCAGCUUAAUAUCUGAUACGGGUCCUAUUUGGACCCAAGAUAUUAAUCUUAUUUUUGGAAUGCGGCGUAGUGCUUGAGGUUUACCUCACCUAUGCCACGGGUUGGCCUGGUAUUGCACUGCCUCCAGGAUCGGCCCACCCCCC
rnacentral:snRNA from 2 species